rnacentral:rRNA from 1 species
AGUGAACGCUGGCGGUAGGCCUAACACAUGCAAGUCGAACGGCAGCACAGUAAGGGCUUGCUCUUACGGGUGGCGAGUGGCGGACGGGUGAGGAAUACAUCGGAAUCUACUUUUUCGUGGGGGAUAACGUAGGGAAACUUACGCUAAUACCGCAUACGACCUACGGGUGAAAGCAGGGGAUCUUCGGACCUUGCGCGAUUGAAUGAGCCGAUGUCGGAUUAGCUAGUUGGCGGGGUAAAGGCCCACCAAGGCGACGAUCCGUAGCUGGUCUGAGAGGAUGAUCUGCCACACUGGAACUGAGACACGGUCCAGACUCCUACGGGAGGCAGCAGUGGGGAAUAUUGGACAAUGGGCGCAAGCCUGAUCCAGCCAUACCGCGUGGGUGAAGAAGGCCUUCGGGUUGUAAAGCCCUUUUGUUGGGAAAGAAAAGCAGCAGGUUAAUACCCCGCUGUUCUGACGGUACCCAAAGAAUAAGCACCGGCUAACUUCGUG